rnacentral:rRNA from 1 species
GGGGUUUUUGUUUGGAGAGUUUGAUCCUGGCUCAGGACGAACGCUGGCGGCGUGCUUAACACAUGCAAGUCGAACGGAAAGGCCCUUCGGGGUACUCGAGUGGCGAACGGGUGAGUAACACGUGGGUGAUCUGCCCUGCACUUUGGGAUAAGCCUGGGAAACUGGGUCUAAUACCGAAUAUGACCACGCGCUUCAUGGUGUGUGGUGGAAAGCUUUUGCGGUGUGGGAUGGGCCCGCGGCCUAUCAGCUUGUUGGUGGGGUAAUGGCCUACCAAGGCGACGACGGGUAGCCGGCCUGAGAGGGUGACCGGCCACACUGGGACUGAGAUACGGCCCAGACUCCUACGGGAGGCAGCAGUGGGGAAUAUUGCACAAUGGGCGCAAGCCUGAUGCAGCGACGCCGCGUGAGGGAUGACGGCCUUCGGGUUGUAAACCUCUUUCAAUAGGGACGAAGCGCAAGUGACGGUACCUAUAGAAGAAGGACCGGCCAACUACGUGCCAGCAGCCGCGGUAAUACGUAGGGUC